GCACGGCCUAUAGGUGCCCCCGAUAUGGGGGUGCGGGGGAGGAAGCGCACUUGGCCCCUGCAGAGGCGCCGGGAGCCCGGGCCCUUGGGGCGCUUUGCAGGGACGAGUCGUGUCUCCGGUGCGGUGAGCGGCGACGGAGCAGGGUUACUGUGAUUUCCUGCAGCAAUCUGGGGGGUUUUGUAUUUUUUUUGAUGUUUUGUAAUUUUUUGUAUUUUUUGUGGGUUUUUUAUUUUUUGUGGUUUUUUGAUUUUGGGGGGUUUGGAUUUUUUUUUUUUUAAGCAGAAAUAUUCAGCAGAGAAGCAUGCUGGUGUUGCCUGCACUGGGCAUGGAGUGCAGCUUUGAAGACGACUGACUGCGGAAGAAGUCUGCAUUGGCCCAAGACCGGUGGAAAAGUCUGUAAAGACGAAAAAAUCCUUGGGGGGAAUGAAACCAGAGAAGAUGAGACUGCUGGAGGCCUGAGCAAUUGAGCUAGGUGCUGUUCCUUGGCCCUGUUGAGAGGCCUCAAAAGCUGUUUGACCUGUGAGAGCUGAAGUGCUCGUAAACCUGAGCGAAAGGUUGGAAGGAGAUUUGUGACUGAAUUCUGCCCUGGUGCAGCUGUAGGAUUAAAUCCAGCAUCAGUCUUCCAGACAGAGGAGUGUUUUGAUUUUUGUGUUUUUCAGUUCACCAGCUAUUAUCAGAAAAUGCUUUGCUUGUCUUUUAACCGCUUCACCACUGCUGAAUUCCUCUGACCUCCAUCACCCUGCCUUUUCAUCGCAGUUUGGUUCUUCUUCCUCAGUCCUUCCCCUCCCCAGGUGUCACCACUGAGCCUGUAAUUCGAAGAUUUGGGUAAAGAUUGAAGGAACAGUACACAGAGCAGCGUGCAGUCUGUAGAGACCUCUUACAAAAGCAAACUCAGAAGAGCAAGAAUUUGUGACUGGGGUUUUCAAGGAGAUAAAGUUGCUCGUCGUUCCUCACUGCCCUGUGCAUCAGUGUCUGGAGGGCGGAGGGGGGUAAAACCCCCCACAUCCCUUCCCACCAUACCAGUUUGUUGCACUGUCCGGAGCUGUUUACACUGCCGUGUUGAGCUUGCACUGCCCGGAGGUGCUGGUGUUCCUGCAUCAGAGGCAUCGCUUUGAUUACCUGCCUGGAGCCUGCUGCUCCCACACACUGACUCCUUCACUGCUUCAGUCAGAUUGGAGCGGCUGAAAGGAGGAAGGAAGUUGAUGAGUCUGUGAAGAGCACAUUUAUGAUGAAAUAAAUACGAAAUCCCUUUACUGUAUCUGGACAACAUCAUAUGGGGAAGUGGCUCUGUAUACCCAGCUGUGGUAGAAAGGCGUCUCACAGCGUAGGAGCGUGCGCCGUUCAUCCCAAGGAAGCAUUCUCAGUUGAGUGAGUAGUGUUUGGAGCUGAUGAGAACCUAAAGCAUGACCUUUCAGAGGUACAUGUUGCUCUGUUAAUCACCGUGAAAGUCCUUACACCUCCUCCUUGCCUCAUUUCCUUCCCUGGGAGAGGAAAUAUCCUGCCAGAAACACAAAGAGCUGGAGGGAGAAGCUCAGUGUUGUUGGAAUGGCGCAGGCCCUGGCCCCUAUGAGGAAAGGGGUCUAGAGCUGGGACACGACAUCUCAAAGUUUCUCAGGAUCCCAGCUGACAUAAAGAUGGAGAAGGAGAAGGAGUCAGACUCCCAGUAAGACAAAUAUUACUUGGCCAGACCCUAGCUCGUAUGUGGAGAGUUCUGGAGCAGGUCCACCUCUUCUCUGUCUCCUGUGGCUUUACUAGGCACCAGGAAGGAGGUCCUGAGGGACAGGUCUGUGGCUAGCAGACCCUUCUCCCUAUCCUGCAGCAAGGAAAAGGAGGAUCAUGAAAGGGGCAGUCGCACUGGCCUUUGCAACUGUGUGGUCAGCUGAGCCCUGGUUUGGAUCCUAAUUCUAUUCCUCAUCCUUAUGAGACGCAGCAAAUGUAAUGACAGGCCAAAUAGGCAUGCAGCUUUUUGAGUAAUUAGAAGAAUCAACUGUUAAAUACAAAACACAUCCCACUUGUGACACAGCGAGGACCUGAUUGUAAUAGCAGAAGUAUGUGUUCAUUAUAUUUAGGUAUCUUCAAAGUUUCCCUGAAGUAGAGAAUAAAAGCAACAGUUCAGCAAUGAAGAUUGACUACGUUAUAGACACUCAGAAGAGGAAUUUUAAAGACAAAUUUUGGCAACUGUAACCACAGCUGUCAUGAUAUCACUAACCAUGAAGAACAGAGGUAAUACAUAACCACACAGAGCAUGUACAGUGCUCACUGUAUGGCAAUUCAAACAACUUCCUAUUGUAUAAAGCCACGUAUUUAAUAGAAAAUUGUUUCAGAAACACUUCUUAGUUACUGUGAAAGUUUAGAAGACUGAAGAGACAAAUGAUUAUGUACAGAAAAAACAAUAAAAUGACCAAAUACAGCAUUUGUUGAAUAAAUGACAUCUUUACAUGUAAGAAAGCUGUCUUGGGAUAUUCUUAACUAAAUAUAAAUGUCUUCUGGGAAGUCUGGAAAUUUCCUUUCUUCAUAGCAAAAAUCCUCCCAUUUUUAGGUCUGGUAAGUUUAAAAAAAAUCACCCUUGAAUUGUCAUUUCUGUGUUGACUACAGCUAAUAAAACUCUGACUAAUUUC